rnacentral:lncRNA from 1 species
GAGAAUGGGCUGAACAAGGCAAAGGGAACGCCAAGCAACUAGUUGGGAGGGGUACUAGGUGGCUCAGGCUGCCAAAAGAAAAUAGCACAGGCUGGGUGUCUUAAACAACAGACAUUUAUUUCUCAUGGUUUUGGAGGCCGUGAAGCAUAAGACCAAAGUACCAGCAAGGAUGACUGAUUCCUUGUGAAGAGUAGAGAGCCAGGAAAAACUGGAGAUUUUGGGCUUAUACAGAAUCCAGAAAUGGAAGGCUCCUGAAAAUUAAUAUUUUAAAAAUAAGAAAUAAUGGGUGCUUGACUUUUCCUUAACAUAAUAAAUGAUGAGGAACUGACAAAA